ACGUAGGCAGCAAGCGUUGUUCGGAGUUACUGGGCGUAAAGGGUGUGUAGGCGGCUAUUUAAGUUUGGUGUGAAAUCUCCCGGCUCAACUGGGAGGGUGCGCCGAAAACUGAAUGGCUCGAGUGCGGGAGAGGAGAGUGGAAUUCCUGGUGUAGCGGUGAAAUGCGUAGAUAUCAGGAGGAACACCGGUGGCGAAGGCGCACAUCUGGCCCGAUACUGACGCUGAGGUGCGAAAGCGUGGGGAGCGAACGGGA
rnacentral:rRNA from 1 species